GCUUUGUCCAAGGAGGCUGCGAAUGGCUGCGUCUCCCACAGCCUGUCUCCUCUGCUCCGGAGAGCCCAGAUCUCCAUGCAGGGUCAAAAGCAAAGGCAGGGGAAAUGCUGCGUGUGCUUGGUGACAAACACAUCGUUCUCAAAGAAUUAAAGAAUGCAUGUGUAGGAAAUGUUAUCGUAGGGUGGCACUAGUGGCAAGGGGGCACAGUCACGGAUGUCGCUGCCAUCAGGUCUGAGUUGGCCUCUGCACCCUCUGGAAGGACUGGAAAGCAUAUCUGAAAGGAGUCAGGGUGUGUGUAUGAACAUCUGCAGGCAGAAAUAGGAAGCGGCUGCUCAUAACUGAAGCUGCAAAACUUCUGUGAAAGCAUCCACAGGCCAACAUGGCAGCUCCACAUGUGACGUCAUCAGGCCACUAAAGGGAAUGAGAAGGUGCCACAGAGACGGACAGAAGAGAAUAGAAAAGAUAACAGCAAACAGCUACAGAGUUGGUGGCUGGACUUGGCGUUUUUCUGGAAGAUCUGGAAGUCUGAAACCCAGGAGUUUGCAAGGCUGGUACUUGAUGGAGAAUGGGAAAGGGUCCCUGUCCCAUAUUUCUCUCUGGUGUCUGCUGGCUGCUGACAAUCCUAGCACCCCUUUGAUCUGUACCCUCAACAUUCCAGCAUCCCUACAUCUGCACUGUGGCCUUCUCUGUGCCAAAGCUUUCUCUUCUUUCCCUUGCAAAUACAACUGCUAAGGCCCACACUUAGCCCAGGAUGACCUCAUCCAGAGACUCUUGGCUUUAGAACAUUGGGAAGAUCCUAUUUCUAAGUGAGUUCAUGUUCACACAUAUUUGGGUUUAGUAUGUGAACAUCUUCUUUUGGAGAGAAACACAGUUCAACCUACUAUGAAGACUCAACGAAUGCCAUUGGGAAAAGCAUGGGCUACUGCUACAACCAAGGAUAGUCACUGCCAGCGGAAGAUGAGGCAACAGCAAUGCAAUCUUAGAGCUUAUUUUAGAGGACAAUGGUCUCAUAGAAAGUCUGUUUGUGUUGGACAUAGAGGUACUAAGAAUGAAGGACUCCAACCCUGGCAUUUGAAUGUCUGAGAACUCCUGAGAUAUCCUCCUGAUAGUCUACUCCGCCCACUAACAUCUGUGGAUCCCAGUAGGAAAGACUUUUGUAUGCUGGCUGGUAUUUCAAAUGCUGCAGCUCCUAGCCUGCAGUUCAUGGAGUUGCCCAACAUAGCUCCCCAAAAAGAACUCCCAAAAAGUCCAACAAAACAGACAAAAGCAAGCUAACCCUACCUUGUCCCUCUUUGUUCUUCAAAGUCCUAUGUGGUCUUGUCUUUCUGGGAAUCCCACCUGCUGUGAGUUCUCAAUAAACUUUC
rnacentral:lncRNA from 1 species